GGCCGUCUAGCCCAAUUGGCAGAGGCGUCUGAUUUAGGAUCAGAAGGUUCUGGGUUCGAGUCCCAGGAUGGCCA
rnacentral:tRNA from 1 species